rnacentral:rRNA from 1 species
UACAGAGGUGGCAAGCGUUGUUCGGAAUUACUGGGCGUAAAGGGCGCGUAGGCGGCCUUCUAAGUCAGACGUGAAAUCCCCCGGCUUAACCUGGGAACUGCGUCUGAUACUGGAGGGCUUGAGUAUGGGAGAGGGAUGUAGAAUUCCAGGUGUAGCGGUGAAAUGCGUAGAUAUCGGGAGGAACACCUGUGGCGAAAGCGGCUCACUGGACCGCAACUGACGCUGAGGCGCGAAAGCUAGGGGAGCAAACAGG